rnacentral:rRNA from 1 species
GACGAACGCUGGCGGCGUGCUUAACACAUGCAAGUCGAACGGAAAGGCCCGGCUUUUGUGGGGUGCUCGAGUGGCGAACGGGGGAGUAACACGUGAGUAAACUGCCCUUGACAUUGGGAUAAAUUCAGGAAACUGGGGAUAAAACCGGAUAGGAGCUACUGCUGCAUGGGGGGGGUUGGAAAGUUUCGGCGGUUGGGGAUGGACUCGCGGCAUAUCAGCUUGUUGGGGGGGUAGUGGCUUCAAAGGCUUUGACGGGUAGCCCGCCGGAGAGGGUGACCGGCCACCUUGGGCCUGCGAUACGGCCCAGACUCCUACGGGACGCAGCAGUCGGGAGUAUUGCACAAUGGCCCGAAGCCUGUUACAGCAACGCCGCGUGCGGGAUGACGGCCUUCGGGUUGUAAACCGCUUUCGCCUGUGACGAACCGUGAUUGACGGUAAUGGGUAAAGAAGCACCGGCUAACUACGUG